AUGGGUGGGCAUCAAAGUUUUCACGUGUGUCGUAUCAAUAAACCCAACAACCAUAUCAAAGGGGAAGAUCUCUUUAGUUCACAGUUCCAAGAUUUUCAUAACUCUAAUUUACAUUUAUACCCUUCCGUACCACGCCAAAGUAUACGACUUUCGUAUGGUCAAAUUGUCCGCCUCAAAAUAUAUAAUUCUUUUUUUUAUUUCUGCAGUGUAUUUGUCGGAGCGGUGGGAAACAAAUCACACGUGUGUCUGCUUCUAACGCGUCUUUACCGUCACGUGAUAGAUCGUUUCUCGCACGUGCCGUCUGCGGUUGAAAGUUGUUGAUAAGUUUGGUGUUUUGCAG